rnacentral:rRNA from 1 species
GCAGGCUUAACACAUGCAAGUCGAGGGGCAUCAGGAACAUAGCUUGCUUUCUUUGCUGGCGACCGGCGCACGGGUGAGUAACACGUAUCCAACCUGCCCUUUACUCGGGGAUAGCCUUUCGAAAGAAAGAUUAAUACCCGAUAGCAUAAUGAUUCCGCAUGGUUUCAUUAUUAAAGGAUUCCGGUAAAGGAUGGGGAUGCGUUCCAUUAGGUUGUUGGUGGGGUAACGGCCCACCAAGCCUUCGAUGGAUAGGGGUUCUGAGAGGAAGGUCCCCCACAUUGGAACUGAGACACGGUCCAAACUCCUACGGGAGGCAGCAGUGAGGAAUAUUGGUCAAUGGGCGCUAGCCUGAACCAGCCAAGUAGCGUGAAGGAUGAAGGCUCUAUGGGUCGUAAACUUCUUUUAUAUAAGAAUAAAGUGCAGUAUGUAUACUGUUUUGUAUGUAUUAUAUGAAUAAGGAUCGGCUAACUCCGUGCCAGCAGCCGCGGUAAUACGGAGGAUCCGAGCGUUAUCCGGAUUUAUUGGGUUUAAAGGGAGCGUAGGUGGACUGGUAAGUCAGUUGUGAAAGUUUGCGGCUCAACCGUAAAAUUGCAGCUGAUACUGUCAGUCUUGAGUACAGUAGAGGUGGGCGGAAUUCGUGGUGUAGCGGUGAAAUGCUUAGAUAUCACGAAGAACUCCGAUUGCGAAGGCAGCUCACUGGACUGCAACUGACACUGAUGCUCGAAAGUGUGGGUAUCAAACAGGAUUAGAUACCCUGGUAGUCCACACAGUAAACGAUGAAUACUCGCUGUUUGCGAUAUACAGUAAGCGGCCAAGCGAAAGCAUUAAGUAUUCCACCUGGGGAGUACGCCGGCAACGGUGAAACUCAAAGGAAUUGACGGGGGCCCGCACAAGCGGAGGAACAUGUGGUUUAAUUCGAUGAUACGCGAGGAACCUUACCCGGGCUUAAAUUGCAGUGGAAUGAUGUGGAAACAUGUCAGUGAGCAAUCACCGCUGUGAAGGUGCUGCAUGGUUGUCGUCAGCUCGUGCCGUGAGGUGUCGGCUUAAGUGCCAUAACGAGCGCAACCCUUAUCUUUAGUUACUAACAGGUCAUGCUGAGGACUCUAGAGAGACUGCCGUCGUAAGAUGUGAGGAAGGUGGGGAUGACGUCAAAUCAGCACGGCCCUUACGUCCGGGGCUACACACGUGUUACAAUGGGGGGUACAGAAGGCAGCUAGCGGGUGACCGUAUGCUAAUCCCAAAAGCCUCUCUCAGUUCGGAUCGAAGUCUGCAACCCGACUUCGUGAAGCUGGAUUCGCUAGUAAUCGCGCAUCAGCCACGGCGCGGUGAAUACGUUCCCGGGCCUUGUACACACCGCCCGUCAAGCCAUGGGAGCCGGGGGUACCUGAAGUACGUAACCGCAAGGAUCGUCCUAGGGUAAAACUGGUGACUGGGGC